AUAAUUUUUAUAAAUAUUUUGACAAAGCAGUGGGUGUAUAAGUCAACAUGAAUAUUUACUUUAAAAUAACCAUCUUCCUCCUCUUUAUCUAUCCCAAUCCUCAGAAAGAACCUUGUUGGCAGUUGGUGAGGAUUCUUCAGAUAUUCAUUAACUGUAUACAUGCAGUAAAAGCUUUGAGAACUCCACCUGCUUGACCUAGAUUUGGACCACGAAUGAUAAUGAUUCUUUAACCCCAAACUCUGAAAAAGCACUCCAAUACUUUUACCUCAGAGGUUUGUCUAUCUUUGUAUUUUAGAUUCAGUGUAUUGUUAAACUUUAUUUAUAAUUGUGAAGUCAGAUUUUUCUAUUUUUAAUUGAAUUAGCUAUCCAAAUAUUGUAAUAACAUAUUCUAAAACAACUUCCCCACAAAUUGAUAAUUUAUAUAUAUCAAAGUAUGUAUGUGUGUAAGUUUUGUUUUACAAACUUCUUUUCUGUGCCAUUUA